rnacentral:rRNA from 1 species
GGCCCAUUCGGGGUACACGAGCGGCGAACGGGUGAGUAACACGUGGGUGAUCUGCCUCGCACUCUGGGAUAAGCCUGGGAAACUGGGUCUAAUACCGGAUAUGACCUUACAUCGCAUGGUGUUUGGUGGAAAGAUUUAUCGGUGCGAGAUGGGCCCGCGGCCUAUCAGCUUGUUGGUGGGGUAAUGGCCUACCAAGGCGACGACGGGUAGCCGGCCUGAGAGGGCGACCGGCCACACUGGGACUGAGACACGGCCCAGACUCCUACGGGAGGCAGCAGUGGGGAAUAUUGCACAAUGGGCGAAAGCCUGAUGCAGCGACGCCGCGUGAGGGAUGACGGCCUUCGGGUUGUAAACCUCUUUCGACAGGGACGAAGCGCAAGUGACGGUACCUGUAGAAGAAGCACCGGCCAACUACGUGCCAGCAGCCGCGGUAAUACGUAGGGUGCGAGCGUUGUCCGGAAUUACUGGGCGUAAAGAGCUUGUAGGCGGCUUGUCGCGUCGAUCGUGAAAACUUGGGGCUCAACCCCAAGCUUGCGGUCGAUACGGGCAGGCUUGAGUACUUCAGGGGAGACUGGAAUUCCUGGUGUAGCGGUGAAAUGCGCAGAUAUCAGGAGGAACACCGGUGGCGAAGGCGGGUCUCUGGGAAGUAACUGACGCUGAGAAGCGAAAGCGUGGGUAGCGAACAGGAUUAGAUACCCUGGUAGUCCACGCCGUAAACGGUGGGUACUAGGUGUGGGUUUCCUUCCACGGGAUCCGUGCCGUAGCUAACGCAUUAAGUACCCCGCCUGGGGAGUACGGCCGCAAGGCUAAAACUCAAAGGAAUUGACGGGGGCCCGCACAAGCGGCGGAGCAUGUGGAUUAAUUCGAUGCAACGCGAAGAACCUUACCUGGGUUUGACAUACACCGGAAACCUGCAGAGAUGUAGGCCCCCUUGUGGUCGGUGUACAGGUGGUGCAUGGCUGUCGUCAGCUCGUGUCGUGAGAUGUUGGGUUAAGUCCCGCAACGAGCGCAACCCUUAUCUUAUGUUGCCAGCGCGUAAUGGCGGGGACUCGUGAGAGACUGCCGGGGUCAACUCGGAGGAAGGUGGGGACGACGUCAAGUCAUCAUGCCCCUUAUGUCCAGGGCUUCACACAUGCUACAAUGGCCGGUACAGAGGGCUGCGAUACCGUGAGGUGGAGCGAAUCCCUUAAAGCCGGUCUCAGUUCGGAUCGGGGUCUGCAACUCGACCCCGUGAAGUUGGAGUCGCUAGUAAUCGCAGAUCAGCAACGCUGCGGUGAAUACGUUCCCGGGCCUUGUACACACCGCCCGUCACGUCAUGAAAGUCGGUAACACCCGAAGCCGGUGGC